rnacentral:rRNA from 1 species
AUUGAACGCUGGCGGCAUGCCUUACACAUGCAAGUCGAACGGUAACAGGUCUUCGGAUGCUGACGAGUGGCGAACGGGUGAGUAAUACAUCGGAACGUGCCUAGUAGUGGGGGAUAACUACUCGAAAGAGUGGCUAAUACCGCAUGAGAUCUACGGAUGAAAGCAGGGGAUCGCAAGACCUUGAGCUACUAGAGCGGCCGAUGGCAGAUUAGGUAGUGGGUGGGAUAAAAGCUUACCAAGCCGACGAUCUGUAGCUGGUCUGAGAGGACGAUCAGCCACACUGGGACUGAGACACGGCCCAGACUCCUACGGGAGGCAGCAGUGGGGAAUUUUGGACAAUGGGCGCAAGCCUGAUCCAGCAAUGCCGCGUGCAGGAUGAAGGCCUUCGGGUUGUAAACUGCUUUUGUACGGAACGAAAAGCCCCGGGUUAAUACCCUGGGGUCAUGACGGUACCGUAAGAAUAAGCACCGGCUAACUACGUGCCAGCCGCCGCGGUAA